rnacentral:rRNA from 1 species
GACGAACGCUGGCGGCGUGCCCAACACAUGCAAGUCAAGGCGGUAGCAAUACCGACUGGCGCACGGGUGCGGAACACGUAGGUAAUCUGCCCUUUAGGGGAGAACAACUCAUCGAAAGGUGAGCUAAAUCUCCGUAAUGUUUUACUAUGGCAUCAUAGUUCAACCAAGUUUUCUAAGGGAUGAGCCUGCGUCUGAUUAGCUAGUUGGUGAGGUAACUGCUCACCAAGGCUACGAUCAGUAGCUGGUCUGAGAGGAUGAUCAGCCACAUUGGGACUGAGACACGGCCCAGACUCCUACGGGAGGCAGCAGUGAGGAAUAUUGCUCAAUGGCCGAAAGGCUGACGCAGCGACGCCGCGUGUGGGAUGAAGCAUUUCGGUGU